CAGUCGCCGCGGGAAUACGGAGGGUGCAAGCGUUAAUCGGAAUUACUGGGCGUAAAGCGCACGCAGGCGGUCUGACAAGUCAGAUGUGAAAUCCCCGGGCUUAACCUGGGAACUGCAUUUGAAACUGUCAGGCUGGAGUCUUGUAGAGGGGUAGAAUUCCAGGUGUAGCGGUGAAAUGCGUAGAGAUCUGGAGGAAUACCGGUGGCGAAGGCGGCCCCCUGGACAAAGACUGACGCUCAGGUGCGAAAGCGUGGGGAGCAAACAGGAUUAGAUACCCCGGUAGUCCCUGUCUCUUAUACAC
rnacentral:rRNA from 1 species